GGUACGGAGAGAGUUAAGCACGGAACACAUCACUGGCAAAAAGUGUUUAGAGCGCAGCUCUUAGCAGCCGUUCCUUCGUUGAGCGUCGGCGUCAUACCAUAGGUGUUCUGUGGUCAUACCUCGGCCAACCCCCGGAAGGCGAGUGCUAGUUUCGAUUUUGAGGAACAUGCGCACUCCAAGCGGUUGCCGGACAUGCUAACUUAUUUUUUUAUUUUUAUUUUUGGAAAUUUUAAAUAGGGCGAAGCGUGGGAGGUGGUUGUCAUCGUGCGUCUGUCGAGCGCGUACCUCCGCUCACCCUUGCCACUCGCUCAGAGAUAUCGCAAGUCGAAUCGCGCUUGAUCAUCUGCUUCGGUUGUCGUCCCAAGUAUGAAGAUGGGAAAGAUAAGACAGAGAAGCUUGAUCAGGCGUGCAACGAACGGAAAACGCAGGAAACCAGGUCAACCAUGCAUUAGACGAAGAGGGCUAAAACGGGGCGUCACAUGUGUUGCGCGGCUCUGUGGUGUUCUAACACCGGGAAUUCCAGUUCUGCGAAGUUUUUAAGCUUUCCUAAUGACAGCAGGUAACAGCAGGGGACCCAGCCUUCCUGAGAGAUGCCUGUUCGACUCGAUCUGGUCCGGACGCGCCACCUGCAUAAAGAAGUCGCCUGUUGGCUGCACAUCCAUGUGAAGAAAUUGAUGAGAAGGAGAAAGAAGAUAAGAAACGCUGAAGGAGAGGGGACGACUGUGCGUGCCAUAGCAGCCGGUGGUGUGUCUGAAGUUCGUUUUCUUUGAAGGGAGGAGCGCAGAAGCAUGAAGUGUUGACGAAGACUUGGACCAAUGAAGUGCACCUGCAGAUGCUUUACAACCUCAAGGGCUGUCUUAAAGGACGCUUUAAACACAAGUUAUGACAGGCGCCUUCUGCUGCUGGACGUCCUUAGACCAUAGCACUGUGCUGCCUGUGCGUUGAGCUCAGUAAGGGCACUUCUGGUAUUCUUGAGUGAUACAGGCUUCGGUACGACUCUCUAAAUUACGUAGGAUUCGAGUGUUAAUGUGUGUGUUUAAAUGUAGGUCCGCGUAUGUCUUUCUUUUUUCUUUACUUUUCUUCUACUUUCUAGCUUUCAUCCCUCAAAUUAUACUACACGUUGAGUAGUAUUACAAGCUUUCGGAUUGAACUGCACCCUUUUCUCUUAGCCGUUUCCGCCUUUUCUCAUAGUUCUUGUCUCAUAGUGAUAGAGCAACAAACUAUAAACGUACAUCUGUCUCGGCGGACCUAUCGUUUUCAGUUGAGGUAUCAAAGGAGGCCUACAAUAAAACGUUUUCAAUCGCCUGCA